rnacentral:lncRNA from 1 species
GCGCGCCAGGUAGGGGGGAUCACGACCUCUGCAUAGCUUGAAAAAUCUUUUCGAGAUGACAAGAACCAGGGCUCAGCGAUCGAGAGCCAUUGGAUCGGCGAGGCACUCUUUUCGUCGGGAAGAUGCCUCUCCUCCACCCUCCAUGACGGAACCCAGCUCUCCGCAUCCUGUGGUGACCACGGAGGCGCAGAUCGCGGUGAUCGUGCGGCAAAUGACUGUGCUGACGAAUGCAGUCAAGAGCCUUCAACAACAACCGACCCGAU